rnacentral:lncRNA from 1 species
UCGGAUUUUGCACAACACCACCAGAAAAGGUAGUUUAGGUAUACUGACAGAUUGUUUAGUCGACGGAAAAUUGCACGGCGACGAGGUCUUCUUCCUGGAAGUAGCUGGAAUGAUGCACAUCUAUACUAUUCUCACCAAAGCUCUGAUACCAUGUGAGAAGGUACGGGAGAAGAAUAUAUAAUUGAUAUGUAAACAUGAUACAAUGAGCCCUAUAUAUAAU